rnacentral:lncRNA from 1 species
CUUGGAGUGAUCAAGGUGGAGGUAGUUGUCAGUGCAAGCAAACUUGGUGAGUGCAAUGGCAGCCUCCUUGGAAACUUCAGCUUCCCUCUCGUCAAGAAGUUUAACCAAUGGGGCAAUCAUCCUUGUUUCAGUUGCUCUAAACGUCCUUGCCAAAUUACCAAUAGCCUUGAUACAAGGAAUCAGCAACUCCGAAUCGGCCUUCUCGAUGAUCUUCAACAACUGAUCGACGACAAGCUUACAAGCAUGAGAAUUCGGCUUAAAUGCAGACCUUCUC